CCGAGUUAUACAACUCAUCAACCCAUGUGAACAUACCUACUGUUGCUUCGGCGGGAUGCACGGCGCCUCGUGUGACACGGAUCAGGCGCCCCCGCCAUAGGAACCCUAACUCUUGUUUUAUAUGGAAUUUUCUGAGUAGUACAAAUAAAUUA
rnacentral:misc_RNA from 1 species